rnacentral:rRNA from 1 species
GAUGAACGCUGGCGGCGUGCCUAAUACAUGCAAGUCGAGCGAACAGACGAGGAGCUUGCUCCUCUGACGUUAGCGGCGGACGUGUGAGUAACACGUGUAUAACCUACCUAUAAUACUGGAUAACUUCGGGAAACCGGAGCUAAUACCGGAUAAUAUAUUUAACCGCAUGGUUCAAUAGUGAAAUACGGUUUUUCUGUCACUUAUAGAUGGAUCCUCGCCUCAUUAGCUAGUUGGUAAGGUAACGGCUUACCAAGGCAACGAUGCGUAGCCGACCUGAGAGGGUGAUCGGCCACACUGGAACGGAGACACGGUCAAGACGCCUACGAGAGGCAGCAGUAGGGCAUCGUACGCAAUGGGCGAAAGCAUGACGGAGCAAGGCCGCGUGAGUGAUGGAGGUGUUCGGAUCGUAAAACUCUGUUAUGAGGGAAGAACAAAUGUGUAAGUAAAUAUGGACGUAUUGACGGUAACUAAUAAGAAAGCAACGGCUAACUACGUG